CCCUAUUUUAUUAUAAUCCUAACCAAUUCAAAAAUGUAUAAACAAUUGUUGAUCCGUGUAUAAAAAGCCUUAGACGGGCGGCCAUCAUGGUACAUUUUAGACGACGCGCGACUGCUGCAGUAUUGUCAAGAGGCCGCCACAAAAUUGUAGGGAGAAUGUAUUUUGUUUCGAUUUGUUUAGCUUUUUAUUACCGACCGGCGGGCAUAGGUCCGCGCGGUUCUAGGCGGUGAAUAGUCGGAUCUAUGACACAAGGUUAGGUAUUCGGGCCGGACGUUAGAGUGGAUAAGAUAGUUGACUCUAAGUGAGAUGCCCUUCGAAACUAAUUAAACCUCUUAUGCCGACUAAGUAAAGAUUAUUUUUCUUUUAUAGUAAAGGAGGUCUGUUCUGGUUUUAUAGGACUUUUCUUUGUUCCUCAUGGUAAAUAAAAGGGUAUCUCUGUAGUGGUAUUUUUAUUGCAUCUUUAAGCAUGGACAGCCUUUGCAUCACUUUACCUGUUUUUAUGCUGUGGCAGUAGUUACUUCAUUAAUAAUAAGCCCAAAGCUAUAAAUCAAUAAUUAUGUUUUACAGAAAUACGGUUCGUGUAUUCAAAACGAGGUACGAAGUUACUCCUGAAGUCCGGGUACACUUACUACUUCCAGAAAUCUACCUUAAGUCAGACGAAGAAAAGGUGGUUGUGUUCCUCUCACCAUGCGAGAGGAUGUACCGCCGUUGUCUACACGAUUGACAAUCAAAUAGUCAAGGACAGGUAUACAGUACGUUUACUCAAGGCGAGGGUCGAAGCAGAUUUUAAUAUCAGGAUACACUUUCUACCAUCAAGUGACUUACCUCAAUCAGAACAAGACUUGGCUUUGUUCUUCUCACCACAGAAAAGGAUGCAAGGCAGCGAUCCGAACUUUUGAGAACACCAUAAUAUAUGCGAAGCUGGACCAUAGUCACCCACCUACAAAGAAUUAUACUUUUCAAAAACCUUUAUUAUUGAGAACCCCGAUUCGUGUAAAUAUGUCAUUAAAUAAGGAAGGAACAAGUCCUGGAAACAUGUUUAUGUAGGAUAAGUGAAGCCUACCUCUUGAUGUCAUACGUUUUGUACUUGUGGAAGAGAGAGAGCGCCUUACGCCGGGCAGUACGCUGUCUUACUCUCACAACUGCAAUAAUAAUUAAAAGAUGGCGUGGUAGGUGCAUGGUUAAUUAGGACUUUUUUCACGUGCGUGCUGUACAUACCCACUAUGGGGUCAAGUGAUAUAUGUAAAUGUCUUAUUUCAAGAUGUUUGCUGAUAACGACUAGUUACAAAGACUUACAAAGACACUAAACUAAUUUUAAGUCGGUUGUAGUAUAAGUUGAAAUGUGCAUUUAAAUGUGAUGAGCUAUAUAUCAAAGAAAUUUAGGAUGUCUAUUGUAAAGUUAAGAAAAAUAACAAUUUUAAUUAUUUCUUUUCGUUUUUUUUUUUAUUUUUUGCAACUCUACCUCAUAACAGCGAGCCGAGCAUCUAGCGACAACACUCAGCCGCAUAUUUUAUUGCGAAAUUAAUUAAAUUAUAUAUUAAUGAUAAUAACACUGGUUCAUUGUUUCAGAGUUACAAGUGUUUACAGAAGUUGAGAGAAGUAAAAACUAUUCAUCCGUUUGGAUACACUUUCUGAAAAGCAGUGAUUCGAAAAGUGCUCGAUGUAAAAUGUGUGAUAAGGUAUUGAAAACCAAACACCAAAACACGACGGGUCUGAGUAGGCAUUUAAAAAGAAUGCACAAUAUCACCGUUGACCCUACAGGGUCGAAGGGACUUCGACGCAUUCCCGUUUCGCGUGUCUGGAACAACGUUCAGGGGGUCUGGACAUGAUUCCAGACACUUUUCAAACUGAGAGAAUAGUCAUUAUUUUUAUAGCAAUUAUUGUCUACUAUUUUGGUUUUAAUUAUUGUUAUUCCGGUGGUUUCAAAUCCGCGAUAUAGCAAAAAUUUUCAUUUAUUUUCGUUAUUAGAUAUAUAAGUAGUUUCGCGAAGUUAACGACCGCAUAUCCCUUCCAACCUAUAUUAUAUCUUAAAGAUUUUAGUAAAGAACAACAUUCAUAUCGAACCUCAAAACCAAUAUGCUUGGAUGUAAGUUAAUAAACACAUUAAGAAACAA